rnacentral:lncRNA from 1 species
GAUAUAGGACUCGUUUUACUGUGGAUAUAGAUACUUUUGUACCUGUUUCCUCCAGCAUCUUCACAAGUUCCUUUGCUGUUGUUCUGGGAUUGAUUUCCACUUUUCGCACCGAUCAGAAGCUUCUAAUGCCAUUACAUAAUUUUCUGGAAUUUUCCAAGCUGUUUAAAGGCAGUCAGCUUAGUGUAUGUAAACUUCUGACCCACUGGAAUUGUGAUACGGUGAAAUAUAAGUGAAAUAAUCUGUCUGUAAACAAUUGGAAAAAUGACUUAUGUCAUGCACAAAGUAGAUGUCCUACCCGACUUGCCACAACUAUAGUUUGUUAACAAGAAAUUUGUGGAGUGGUUGAAAAACAAGUUUUAAUCACUCCAACCUAAGUGUAUGUAAACUUCCGACAUCAACUGUAUUUCACUCCAGUGUAAAUUGCUAAGUUAUAAUUACUUGCCUUACCUCCGUAAACUUGCGAUUUCAACUGUAGCUACUACUCCUGAUCUCCAUUAACGCAUGGCUACUGCCACUAUCCUGAAGAGCCUGGCGCAUGGCUACUACCACUAUCCUGAAGAGCCUGGCGCAUGGCUACUACCACUAUCCUGAAGAGCCUGGCGCAUGGCUACUACCACUAUCCUGAAGAGCCUGGCGCAUGGCUACUACCACUAUCCUGAAGAGCCUGACGCAUGGCUACUACCACUAUCCUGAAGAGCCUGGCGCAUGGCUACUACCACUAUCCUGAAGAGCCUGGCGCAUGGCUACUGCCACUAUCCUGAAGAGCCUGACGCAUGGCUACUACCACUAUCCUGAAGAGCCUGACGCAUGGCUACUACCACUAUCCUGAAGAGCCUGGCGCAUGGCUUCCUUGUUGUCUUUUUCCAUUGUCCUUUCCAGCAGUGAAGGUUCAUCCGUACGCUAUGAGCAGAAGUAGGGUUAACUAGGCCUGCCCAGUAUUGCUCAGCUUGGCUCAGUAGUGUGAAAACCGAAUGGUCUCUCUCUGAUGCCGGGGGGGGGGGUUAGGGUCUGUCUCUGCUGGAGGGGGGGUUAGGGUCUGUCUCUGCUGGAGGGGGGGUUAGGGUCUGUCUCUGCUGGAGGGGGGGUUAGGGUCUGUCUCU